CAUUACAUCUAUCUCAAUUUUUCUUUGUGAUUCUCUCUCAUUUGUUGUUUUCAUUUUCCUAGUGUUCCCAAAAAUUCUCACAUGGAAAUGCAAAUAAUUUGUAAGCAAGUUGGUAUGAAGAUUCGAUGAGGAGAUCUACAAGUUUGAGGCAGGAUUGUAACUUAUUUAACUUUGUAACUCAAAUUUGUGAAAUCCAAUUUGAAAUUUGUGUUUGAAUUGAGUUAAUUAGUUAAAAUUUAUGUGAAUUUGCUCAAAUAUCUUGUAAAUCUGCACAUAUUUAAAAUCUUCAGCACAAACUUUGCAUAUAUUUAUUCUUCAUUUUCAAAUAUUGUGAAAAAUUACAAUUCUUGGUAAAAAUUUGUAGUUCCUUUUGAAAUUUUUGCAAAUUUUGGCCAUUUUCUAUAUAAAUUUUUUUUUCAUUAACUUGCAAAUCUAGUGCUUUUUCAGAUUAAUUUACAGAUCUUUUGAGAUAGUAUAGGUAUUCUGGCAAAUCAACCUCAAAUCUGUGCAAUUGCAAAUAAUUUCCUUGGCGAUGGCUUUGAUCCGCAGCCUUGGACAUUUAUUUAUGCAAAUUUAGCUCCAAACUGCUUCGAUCAACAACUUUGGAUGAUUAUUUCUAAUAGACACAAUCUACAACUUUAUUUCUACAAAUAGGCAAAUUUUGGCCAUUUUCUAUGAAAAUUUUAUUUUCAUUAACUUGCAAAUCUAGUGCUUUUUCAGAUUAAUUUACAGAGCUUUUGAGAUAGUAGAGGUAUUCUGGCAAAUCAACCUCAAAUCUGUGCAAUUGCAAAUACUUUCCUUGGCGUUGGCUUUGAUCUGCAGCCUUGGACAUUUAUUUGUGCAAAUUUAGCUCUAAACUGCUUCGAUCAACAACUUUGGAUAAUUAUUUCUAAAUAGACACAAUCUACAACUUUAUUUCUACAAAUAAGCAUCUAUUCUAGCAAAUUUCAGUUAGUCUAGCGUUUAAAUAUCGUUGUGGUGACCUAUAUAUUCUUCUUGGAAUGGUGCGUUGGAGAGAAUCACCUUUGGAAAUUGGAAAACAAAAUUUUUGCAUCCCUCAAUUGACCUUGCAUUCAUCUUUGAAUAUAUGCAUUGGCGUGGUUCUGCAAAUAAUUUAUUAAUCGCCUUGGCAGAGGAGUUCGAAUUGAUCUAGCAGAGGUGUGAAAGUUCCAUUCUUUAUUUAAAGUUAGCCUACAAUAAUUUGGCAUUCACAGGCAAAAUGUCAAAGGGCGUGGAGUGAGAUUGAGUUGCCUUCUGCUAAAAAUGGCUUCAUUUCACUCUGGCGUGAUAGAUCGGCCUUGUAUUAAAAUAAUUUUACAUUCUAUUCAAACUAAAUCAGCCUUUCAA